rnacentral:rRNA from 1 species
UACGUAGGGGGCAAGCGUUAUCCGGAUUUACUGGGUUUAAAGGGUGCGUAGGUGGGUAAGUAAGUCAGUGGUGAAAUCUUCGAGCUUAACUCGGAAACUGCCAUUGAUACUAUUUAUCUUGAAUACUUUGGAGGUAAGCGGAAUAUGUCAUGUAGCGGUGAAAUGCUUAGAUAUGACAUAGAACACCAAUUGCGAAGGCAGCUCACUACACAGUUAUUGACACUGAGGCACGAAAGCGUGGGGAUCAAACAGG